UCGAGUUGCACGGGCCGACACGUGACACGCUCCCACCUGCUGCGGCCUGUUUCCAACGCACCCUCCGUCUGACAGCGGCCUCUUCAAACUGGCAAAAGCGCCCUGCCCGCCGCGGGUUGUAAAGAGCACGGUCCGGAAAUAUCGCCGCAGGGUGGCCGUUCCCGUUCCCGUUCCCGUUCCCGUUUUGUUUGGCCGGUUGUGAUGCGACCUGCCGGACCAAAGGGGCGCAUCGGGCCGGAGGAGGACUUGGACACACCUGGGGACCCCGGCCUGACUUCAGCGGGUAAGCACGGUUAGAUGGUGCAUUACAUUGCUUGUCAAGAUGAAGCCAGUGCUCAAGUGGAUUCUGCCCUUCCCUCUCUGUAAGUGGUAGAUCGCAGAGGGUGCAUCUACUACUCCCGUGUGCUGAAGCGCCUGUGCGAGCCUGCUCAGGAUUGUCUCCAUGGUUAGGAUCCUCCUGUCUGCUCUCUCCAAGCUUCCUGCCCCUGCUCUGUCUGAGACACUAUGUUAGCACAUCUGGCUGACCGUUGCUGUUUACGGGAAGAGGCCCUGCUUAGACAUGAAAUUGACGCCCGCUGUUUGCAACUUCUUCCACUCAGCUGGAGUCCUUCAAUCUAAAGAGCCUGGGGUUUCCAAAGCCCUUUCUCCUUUGACUGUUGGAACUGCAUCCUAAACAAACAGCACUGCCCUGAAAACAGCCAGCAAAAAUGAAAACAUUUAUUCAAAACAGCUU